ensembl:lncRNA
AUGAAUCUAAAAUAUAUGAAAGUUUAAUUUUUAUCAUUACAUUAUGGAAAAUAAUGAACUUUUUCACAAUAUGCUAAUUUUUUGAGAAGGACCUGUACAGCCAAGUAUGGUGACCCAUACUCAGAAUUCGUGCUCUGCAUUUAACCCAUCCAAAGUGCACACACAGCAGAUUACACACUGUCUGUCUCUAUCUGUCUCGUUCUCGCAGCCUCUUUCCUCCUUUCACUUUAUUUGCUUUGAAAUACUAAAGUCCUGCCAAACCGUGUAUAGUAACGCAGUCCAAGUUCAUACCUCACAUGUUCAGUGCGGUCUGUCGAGAACUUCCUGUGUGGUACGGAGCCCUUGCUCAUGUAUACUGCUGAAGGAAGCUUUCACCAGUCUUCUCCUUACCCGGGCAGGGAAUACAGUAUCUGAUUAAUGUCUUCUGUUCGGCCAGAGUCCUCAAUCCAUUCUCACAGUGGUGUCUGUGUGCAGUGCCCCUCUCACAGCUCUUUAGCUCUGAUAGAUGGCUCGGUGUGGACCGCAGACACAAACACUUGAAUAGGAUUUACUCUGAAAAUACAAAUAGCUAGAAUUAAACAGGGUCCCUACAGUUUGUCCUCUCAAAAUGGAUUGAGUUAUUGCAGGAAUGAGAGUGGAUAAUAGUGCAAAUAAUACACAGUGAAAACUUCAGGGCAGCUUGUGCUGUCUGUCAGUUUUUUUUAAGGUUUAACUGUGUUUUAUUGGACAUUUGGAAAUGUAACUAAAUGUAUUUGAACUAGAGUAUGAAUGAGAUGUUAGCUGAGAAGUUCAAAAGUAAAGUGUCAUUUCUACUUUAGCACCAAAUCAAACUGCAAAAUGUUAUUCAAACUAUUAGACUCAGAUAAGAAUCAAGGUAUUAAAAUUGUUAUUGAAAUGAUCUUGACACAUCAUUUUGAAGAGUUCAGUCUACUAGGGGUGUUACCAAGAUGGGCGCCUUCAAGGUAGAUCACUUCAAGAAAUUUACCUUUAAAUCGAAAUAUUUUCCUUUAAUCUUUAUCAGUUUAUUAGAUUUUUUAAAUAUUCAGACAUCUACACAUUGUUCGAUGUUCUUCAAGGACAUCUCAUGGAGGAACUUUUUUUUUUCAGAUGUUCUAAGUAGUUGCAUUUUUAUGACAGCAAGAAUGUGAAGGAUAUUCUGGUCUGGCUGUCUCUGCUUGUGCCUGAUUAAAUAUAUGGCUGUGGUUUGGGAUCAGCCUGUGUUUGAGGGCCCCGAACAAGGAGGAGGGGAAUCCACAUGAAGGGCAGCACAAAUCCUAUAUUAGAAGAAACAAAUAUGUCUAUAAUACUGUCUGUCUGUCUAUCUAUCAUUCUAUCUAACAUUCUACUGUAUAUAUCCAUCCAUCCAUCCACCAUUCUAUAAUUCUAUCAUUCUGGCUUUCUUUGACUUUCUUUUGCAUAUAAUGAUUCCUUUACAACAGUGGUUCCCAAUCCUGGUCCUGGAGAACCCCCAACACUGCACAUUUUAGAUGUCUCCCUAUUCAAACACACCUGAUUCAACUCAUCAGCUCAUUAGGGAAGACUCCAAGACCUCAAAUGUGUGUGUCAGAUAAGAGAGACACCAAAAGCGUGCAGUGUUGGGGGUUCUGCAGAACCAGGAUUGGGAACCACUGCUCUACAAUAAAGUGACAAAGAUGACCUAGUUUAAGAAAUAACAGUCUACUUCAGUUAAUCUUUUGUGAAGUUUUAUACGGCAGCCCCACUACAGUACUGUCUGUCUAAUUCUGCCUAAAAGGUUUCUGGUCUUUCAUUUCCCUGCAAUUAGCGAAUAACCACUAAUUAACCUUUCACCGCAUUAAACAACACAUCCUCGGGCAGUUUUCCUUGUUUCCUCUCAACACACCCUAUAGGGCUGCGCCUGACAGUUUUAUGGUUCUACACGUGUUUUCCUACAUGAGUACAAGUCAGGGCGGUCUGGAGCUAUGCUUUGUGCUUUGCUUAUUCUUAAACAGAUUGUCAGGGCAGAGUGUGUAUAUGUUUGGACCAUGUGCAUGAACCAAGAUCAUCGCAGAAAGAGGUUUAUUGAAUCGGUGGAAAUGUUUACCUGUCAUGCAGCUUCCAUGUCCCCCAUCACCUCAGUCAACACCGAGCCAUGAGAAGCCUGAAUGUACAUGACUAGUGCUGGGGGUUGGCGUGACAUCAUUUUGAGCUAUUGUUUCACCUGGCAGGUGAUGCAGGUGCUGUUUCAGCUACUUGUUGUAAAAACAUGUCUUGUUUUACAUCUUUGAUAUAGACAAACUGAGGCCUGUAUAGUCAUGGGUCCUCUGUUCAUAAUACAGUAUUUGCAUUUUUUCCACCUGAAGUUAGAUUGUUUUUCAGUUAAUUUACAACUUAAUUAUAUUUACCAAUGAAACAUAAUAUGCUGAUUAACUAAUGGAUUUAGUAUUUUUCCUUUGAAAAUACUACUUAAUGUUUCCAUUGGAGUAAAAUCUGACUUUCCCACACAGAGUAUAACAACUUUCCCCCGAAAACUGGAUUUUUUUUUUUUUUUCACCUUGUUAUACUUGUAGUUUUCCCGGUCAAAGCUCACUGGUCUACAAGAAAUUGCUUAGAAAUCAUCUCUUGGUAAUGUAUGUAACCAUGGUUUCCCAGGGGAAUAAGACACUGUUUCACAAACACUUUGUGAAUGCCACUGUGUGACCAUGUCCUGAAGCAUGUCUGAUAUCAGUCCAAUGGAAUGGUGAGACGUCAUGGGCGGGGUGACCAUAGAGACCAGGAAGCUUAAAAGCACAUCUGAAAACAAACAGCAUUAGCUUCUGAUAGGUCGAAGCACAGGGAUGUGCCGCUAGGAUAGGCCGCUCACAGGGAUGCAGGAAGUAUGGUAAGGAGACGCAGUGUCUCGUUCCACCCGGUGAACCAUGGAAAGGACCAACCGGCCGCAUCACACACAUCUUCCAGGGAGAACCCUGAGAAAAGGCUCUAGAAGCCAUCAUAUUUCUCCUGUCCUCAAAGCACCAUGAAAGAAACAUGUUACCAAUGGGUUUAUCCCUAAUGACUGACCACCCAAAGGGGCGUGGUAAGCAGAUAUGGCCAUCACAUACACACGCUUAAGGUGGAGGGGGUCAACCCUGCGAAGAGCUGUCCCUGCAGGAACUCCAGAACUGAACCAACCGGGCAGUUAACUGGGACCAGCUGACAAUUUCCACACCAUGGAGUAUGGUUUCAACAACCUCAGUUGAGAGACCAGAGUCUGUGAGUUGGGGCCUCUCAGAGGCCAAAUUUAUUUAUUUAUUUAUUCAUUCAUUCAAUUAGCACAGGUUUUGUAUUUCUAUUUGAAACUGAAUGGUCAUAGGCUUCAUUGAUCUGAGUAGAUUUUGAUUGAACAUCACCAGAAUUAUCCGCAAAUAAUGCUUUUUUUCACUCAAAGACUUGUAAAUUACCUUCUAUAAUUAGCUAAAAUCUGUUUACCAGUGUAGUUGUUGAGUACUGAGUAGGUGUUGAUGUGUAAAUGUAGGCUGUCUUAUGUUUAUGUUUAAUACCAUGAUGAUUUCAGUACAAUCUGUUCUUUUUGAUUAGUUUUUCGUAAAUGAUUGCGGUGAACUGCUGAGGGAGCUUUGAAAAUGUCUACAUAGAACAUCAAACUCUUCAAAAAGAAAAUCCUGAAAAAAAAAAUCCUGUUUUCCAUAUGUCUUUUAUUGUAACUCUUUAAUGAUGUGUUCUCAGUCAUGCAAGUAUAAUGCCGUAAGUGGCUCUUCUAAGUGUGGACCAUCACUUGGCCAUACUCUGAUGUGCUUCAUGGGAAAUUCUUAAAUUUGUUCCUGUGCUUUCUGAUUUCUGAGUGCAUUGCUCAGUGUUCAGUCUUUCAGAUCCUGCAGGCCACUGAUGAGGCUUCCAUCUCUGUGACCAAACAGAAUGAUUAUUAGUGGUGUUUCCUCAGGCAUUGAGGUUCCUCUAAAUGGAGACAUACUAAAGCGUGGCACCACUAAUGUUAACCAAGUCUUGAACUGGUGCUCUAGUGAUGAGCAUUUCAAACCGGUGGAAGAUGAGAGGGCAGAUUCUCAGAUAUGCCUCUGAUGUGGAUGAGGAUUGCAUUCUGCAUCCUCCGGAGAGGUCCAGAUGAACAAUUAGACAGAUUAGAGAGCGAGAAAAGAGAAGUGUGCAUUAAAUAAGUUUGUGGCACAAAUAUGCUUGUUUGUUACUAACAACUAAAUCAUGUGCAUGCAAUAUGAUAUUGCGGCUAAAAGUCAAAAUGCAAAUAGCUUCAUGCAAAUUAAUUAAUGCAUGUAUAUAUUUUUUUAGGUAUGGAAAUUUAUAAGUGAUGGAAAUGUGCUGUUCUUUUGAACUUUCUAUUCAUCAAGAAUCCUGUAAAAUGUGUCAAUGUUUCCAAUAAAUAAAUAAAUUAAAUAAAUUAAAAAAGUACAAGACAUAAAUUAUAUAUACAUAUAAACAUAUAUAUAUAUAUAUAUAUAUAUAUAUAUAUAUAUAUAUAUAUAUAUAUACACAUAUAUAUACACACACA